rnacentral:lncRNA from 1 species
CUCUCGUCUCCAGCAGCAGCCCAACCCAGCUCUUGCCCAAAUCUAAUCCAUUUUAUUUGAUUCUACUCAUCUCUCAGCAACACACAUUCUUGUGAAUUGAAAUUGCCGAUUUACAAGACGAACUGACAUUACGAAGCACGGCCACAGCGACUUUGAAUCUUUUCUUUCCGCCUCUCAUAGUCUCACUCUCGUCACUCUAAGCCCUCGACAAGAUGACGCCAAGCUGCUUUAGUCUUCCUUCCAUCAACAGCCGGUAGCGCAUGCAACAGUGAUUCAUUUUUGGAAGAAGAAAGAAUGUAACCUAGAACCAUGGAACCGUGAACUAGUGAAGCUAGAAGCCCUCUCAUUGAACUUUUCUUUUUAGUUGUUAUUUUGAUUUGAUUUAAGCCUAAAAUCAAGAUGAGUCAGUUUUGUGAU